UUUAGUCAGGCAACGAGCGAGACCCGCACUCUUAAUUGCCAGCAGCAGUUUCGACUGGCUGGGUACAUUAGGAGGACUGCCAGUGCCAAACUGGAGGAAGGAACGGGCAACGGUAGGUCAGUAUGCCCCGAAUGAGCUAGGCUACACGCGGGCUACAAUGGUCGAGACAAUGGGAAGCCACCUCGAGAGAGGGCGCUAAUCUCCGAAACUCGAUCGUAGUUCGGAUUGUGGGCUGAAACUCGCCCACAUGAAGCUGGAUUCGGUAGUAAUCGCACCUCAGAAGGGUGCGGUGAAUACGUCCCUGCUCCUUGCACA
rnacentral:rRNA from 1 species